UAGGGAAUAUUGGACAAUGGGUGAGAGCCUGAUCCAGCCAUGCCGCGUGCAGGAAGAAGGCGUUAUGCGUUGUAAACUGCUUUUUGCCAGGGGAUAAAAAGACCGUGCGCGGUUAAUUGAAGGUACCUGGUGAAUAAGCCACGGCUAACUACGUGCCAGCAGCCGCGGUAAUACGUAGGUGGCAAGCGUUGUCCGGAUUUAUUGGGUUUAAAGGGUGCGUAGGUGGCCCUGUAAGUCAGUGGUGAAAUAUCUCAGCUUAACUGAGAGGGUGCCAUUGAUACUGCAGGGCUUGAGUACAGAUGAGGUAGGCGGAAUUGACGGUGUAGCGGUGAAAUGCAUAGAUAUCGUCAAGAACACCGAUAGCGAAGGCAGCUUACCAAGCUGUAACUGACACUGAGGCACGAAAGCGUGGGUAGCGAACAGGAUUAGAUACCCCCGUAGUCCCUGAGCGGGCUGGCAAGGCGCAU
rnacentral:rRNA from 1 species